rnacentral:lncRNA from 1 species
GGAGUCAGGUGCAAAUUGGCCUGUGCCCGUGCAACAUUCAACACAGGAAUGUUUAUGAUGAAACUGUUACCAGAGCACAAAAUUGUUUACAACAGCACAAAGUUUUUCAUAGAUCUAGCCUCAUAAUUUUGUUGUCAAAGUGCACCAGAUUGAUGCAUUGAACUUUAAAAUGUGCAAAAUGUUCUUAUAUAUAAAAUAUAUUCCCCCGGGGAGCAUGGCCCGGACCCUCCUAGGGGGUUCGCAUCGUUGUCACCUUUUUCAUCCCUGAUGAGUUUGCACCCCUGUGUAUAGGUUGUCAUGUCAGGGCCCUGUCAACAAAUGCGUAAAACACCUCAAAUAAAGUAUCAACAUGCACAGAAGACUCAAGAACAACUGUCAACUAUUAUCUUUCAGAUGUAAAAAAAAAAAAGUAAUAAUUUCCCAACAUUACUGUUGUAUUUUAAAGUCAAGAGACAUACUGUGUGAUAACAAAAGUGUGAUUUCUUGCACAUAAAGCGCUGUAAGAGAUGCUGACCUAAUGAUUUUCUUGUAUUUGCAUCUAGAGGGAGAACACUGAGCAUGAAAACUUUGCUCCAAUGUUCUUGAUUUGUCCCAGCACUGGGAAACGGUUUUCAGAACCAGUGCGAAUUGCAAACCUACCAGACAUUUGUGAACGAUCUGUUGUUCUGCAGGCAAUAGAAGAUGGGGAAAAAAUGCCAAACAGCACCCUGGAAGACAUGAGGCAGUCAAUCAGGAGAGACGCCUCCAUGGAAAAGAUUUUACUCAGCAUUCCACCGAUGAUGAAGACAUUUCCUCUGUGGCUCUCCUAUGGACAUGUGCCUGGUAGCAACUUUAGAGUAGCCCCUGAGCAGUCAUUUUCUCAGAUGAAAGAGGAUUUGGAUUUAUAUGCACACUUGCAGGUCACUCCUCCAUUGCAGGCAUUGCAUUCUUUUGUUGAAGCACCAUGCCUGAUGUACCUCACGGAGAGUAAGUUGUCUCCUCAGUUCCUCAGUUCUAUCUGAUGAAAAGUAAUGUAUAGCUGCUAAUUGGAAUUUAUGGUUAUACAAGAGCUGCAUUGCUUUCAUUUUUAUCAUGUUUUUGAAAUGCACUUGUCAUUUCAAUGGGUUGAAUAAUUGAAAUGCUCAAGAUUAAAUGUGUGUGAAUGUCUGCUCUCAGUUAUUGAUAUUAAAGAAAUGAAAAAGCAGUUGCAUGUAGAUUUAGGACAUGUUGAAUGCAGCUACGCCAUUGUUUCACCUCAGAGGGGUCCUGUCCUAAUGAAUGUGAUGUCUGUGUGCAGCGUGGGUCUACCAAUGCACAAAUGUAAAACAGGAGUAAACAAAACAUAGUUUUAAUACACUUCAUGGAGAUACUAUGCAUUGAUAUAUGUGGUCUGGAGUCGUAGGUUGUGCCAUGGUGCUAGGCCCUUCCACUGCUCUAUGCAGCUACAUAAUGAGUGGGAAACAUUUGUAUUGAUUGCUGCAUGUGCUACAUGUCAUCCAUUCCCCAACACAGACAACCUUGGUGUGUAUACUCAGAACUCCAAGGGAGGCAUGGGAGUUUUUCUUUUCAAUCCCCUCACUGGGAAACAAGAGGCCACGGAUCUAAAGAAGCUGGCAAACCAGUAAGUAUUGUUUCCUUGUGUUGCG